AUUGAACGCUGGCGGCAGGCCUAACACAUGCAAGUCGAGCGAGCGGCGGACGGGUGAGUAAUGUAUUGGGACUGCCUGAUAUAGGGGGAUAACUACUGGAAACGGUGGCUAAUACCGCAUACUAUCGGAUAACCCAUAUGGGAUUAGCUAGUAGGUGGGGUAAAGGCUCACCUAGGCGACGAUCGCUAGCUGGUCUGAGAGGAUGAUCAGCCACACUGGGACGGAGACACGGCCCAGACUCCUACGGAGGCAGCAGUGGGGAAUAGUGGACAAUGGGCGAAAGCCUGAUGCAGCAAUGCCGCGUGUAUGAAGAAGGCCUUAGGGUUGUAAAGUACUUUCAGCGGGGAGGCGUUACCCGAAGAGGAAGCACCGGCUAACUCCGUGCCAGCAGCCGCGGUAAUUC
rnacentral:rRNA from 1 species